UUGGUUGGUUUGGGGAAAGAAAACAUCAGAAUCAGAGUAAUUCAACUGCUGUCCGUGGUAUGGUUUUGUCUGUGGCAGUAGAUAUCCAAGGAAGUGUGGUUGUCCUGAGAAGUCAACAGCGGCAACAGUCUCUUUGGAGACAGGAACGAACAUGAGACCAAGAUAUGUUCAAGGUAAAAUUUGUUGUCUACUUUUAUAGACUAUUUUUUUUCCACACAACGAAGUAAAUGAACACCAGAAGCACUGAAUUCAUGACAUAGUAGUUUUACCAUUGGGAGAGAAAACAGAGCUGCUCUCUUCUAUUUGCCACAGCCUGCAAAAAUGCCAAUGAUUGUGCAGCGUAUGAGAUUUUAUCCACCUUACAACUAACAAGUUUGCCUGCUGCAGUUUCAUGGAUGUUGGCAGAAGGAACUACACUGCUGGGUCAGAGACAAAGGACUCCAUUUCUAAUGAUCCAGCAGCAGUCGUGAGCUUCAUGUUCACAUCAGUUCCCCUUAGUCUCCAGGUGCCAUGAGGUCCAUGCAGAGCAGCCCAAGUGGAUGUUGCACACACAGUGGGCAUCUGUCAUAGCUGAGGAUCUCUGAUCUUAGGAAACCCUCAUCUUACAAAGAAGCUGCUGUCAAACCUGUCUAAACUUUUUCUCAAAGGAAGACAUCAUCUUUAUUAUUCAAGUCAAGAAACAAAUCUGCCCUCCAACCCAGAAGGAGAUACUAUCUCUAGCUUCCAAGGCUUUUUGCUGUGCAGGUAUCAUUGAAAACACAGUCUAGGAUAAAAACUGUCACAAGCUGCGUAGAAACUCCAUGGAGGGAUUGGCUUCCAACAAAAAAUUCCAGGGAAGGAAUCAAAAUUGAUGUAUUUGAGGUCAAGUGCCUGUCCUCUAUCAAGCACUUUGUCCAAGGAGAUGGGAUAGUAUUACGAACACUGCAAAAGUCAAUUUCCCAUCCACACAUGGGUUAAGGUCAGACACCAAGACAUUAGGAGAGGAAUGUGCUUGACAAAGAUUAAUCACAUUUAUUAUGAUUCAGUAUUAGAAGGGAUAAGAUGGGGCCAGAUCAUAAAGAAUUAUGUAGGUUAUGUUAAUUAGUUUGGAUUUUUUCCUAUGAGCAAUAGCAAUUUGUUAAAUUUUAUAAUGGGGUAGGUGUGGUAUCCUUAGAAAAAUCACACUGGUACAGAUUUUAGGGAUUGGCAGUAGAGAGUAAAUGAAGAAAUGAGUUAGAGAACAGUUAUAUUAGUCCAUGUGAAAGGUAACAGGGGUCUGAACCAGAAUAGUGAGUAUGGAGAGAAGUGGGCAAAUCUGAGGAUAUUUUUGGUAGCAGUCAAAAGGAGAGAAGACAGAAUCAAGGACAAACAACAUGUUUUUGUUUUGGGAAACGUCAUGAGUUGAGACAGAAAGCCUAGAAAGAGAAGCAGGUUUUAACAAGGUAAAUUCAGUUUUGAAACUUACAUAUUUUACAUAGGAUGGGACACAGAAAGCUAGGCUAAGGAAAUGGAUUCAAGACAUUUGUAUAACACAUAGAUGGGAAGAGGAUUGAACAGAAAAAAUACCUCUAGUACAAAACCUGAGGAACACUAAUAUUGAAAGAGCAGGCAUAAGAAGAACCUGUAAAAAAAGAUAAUGUAGUCAGUAUGCUAGGAAAAAACUAGGAGAAAACAGUAAAACAGAAACCACAGAAGGUGAUUGAGAAAUAGAAUUAACUCACUCUUUUUAAUGGCUGUGUAAGAUGACAUAGUAUAGAUGUACUACAAUGUAAUAGAACUAAAAACAAAACUAAGCAUUAAAAGAAGUUAAAUGUUAAGUGCUUUGGAAGACAAGGUUCUUCAGUUGUGAGAAGCGGAUUCCAUCAACCUUACAGGAAUACUGUGGGGAUUGAAGUGGAUCCUAUUCACAUACUUCUUACACUAUGAGGGCAUUCAAUACACGUCAAGUUUUCCUUUGUAAAAUUAAGUCACUGGCACAUGUGGCUAAGAUUAUGCUUUUACUCCUAGAACUCUUCCCAAUCACUCUUGCAAAUAACCAGUCAUUGCAUGUGUACUAGUUUUGUUGUGCCCCGUUAUACUCAUUGCCAAUAAACGUGCCUUCCUCCCACAACCCCCACCCCCCACCCCGACUAUACUCUUGGUACCAAAUCCUUUGAUUUAUUGGUUGCACCAAAGUCACAGACUGGCAGAAUAAAUACUGGUGACAUUUUAUUUCUUGUCACCUCAUUAACGUAGAUCAGCUCAGGCUGAUUAGUUCUCCUCUACACAUUAGUUAGAAUGGCUCUGUAACUUGGUGCUAUACAGAGAGUAGAAUGGUUUGUGAUUGUUGCUUUCCUAAGGGGAUUUAAAGUUUUUCAUUUAUUUUUUGUGUGUGCAUGCACAUGACACUCUCAUACAUUCUGCCCCAUUUCUUUUUUCUUCCCUCAGAGCUAGCUCAAAUAAAAUAAACAUCUUUAGCUCUUUCUUUAGAAAAAGAAGGGAAAAUCACAUGCCAAUCCAAGUAGAGAAAGAUACAGAAAACAGAAGCAGGUGGGAAAAGGCACUUUAUAAUUCAUUAAUUUAUAUUGGUAUCUCUUAAAAUUUUUCUUUUUAUGAAAAAGAAGUGAAGAAUGUUAGAAGGUCAUAAACUAAUAAGAGACCACAUAGUUUAAAAGAUUUGCCACUUUUUUUUUUUAGCUUUAUUGACUAUUACCAACUUUCAGUAUGGUUCAAAUAAUUAAAUACUGCAACUGGGACAUUAAAAAUACAAGCUAAUUUACCAAAAUAAUUGUAUUCUGAAUAUUAUGUACAAUAUUAUACAUUUUACAUUACAUAAUGGGUUUUUAUACAUAAAGGUAAGAUUUCUGAUUAUUGGAAAUACAAAGUACAACUGAACAAAACAUUCCUAUGCGUACAUACACAAUCACUCAACUGGAACAAUCAAAACCAUCUAUGAGUGUGGUUAUUAAAAAAUAAAAUUACGUUCAUACAAUGGUAGAAAAUGAAAUGUUUUUAUUAAUUUGAUUAUUAAUACAAAACCACACAUAUAUGAAUUAUAUAACCUAGUGUUAUAUAUUUAAAAAUCUUUAUGCUUGCAACUGAAAUGUCUCUACUCCAAGGGAAGUUUCUGAUUUUUAAUUUUCUUAUUUUAAGGAAUCUAUUAUAUUCACAAUGAUUAAAAUGCCUUACACAUAGGCAAAAAGCAGACCCAAUCCCAGCAAACAGAAAAACCAUAAGUCUAUCAUAUCACCAUAUGUUUCACCAUAUAGUUUUGAAAAAUAAUCCUAUUUGCAGUUUGGUAUGUCUUCAUAUUUAUACUUAUUAUCAAAGUGAUUGCAUAUUGAGGCACAGAGCUUAAAGAGGAAAUAUAUAUUACUUAUAGGGAACCAGACACUGAAACAAGAAUAUCAAUCAAUGGCUUCAAACAAAAAAAAAAAAAAAAAA
rnacentral:lncRNA from 1 species